rnacentral:tRNA from 1 species
GGGUAUGGCUCAGUGGUAGAGUGCUUGCCUAGCAUGCAUGAGGCCCUGGGUUUGAUCCUCAGCAUCACA